rnacentral:lncRNA from 1 species
AUAAGAUGUUCUUACAAAUCAGGGUAAUUAGCAUUUUUAUCUCCUUAUUUCUUAUGAUUGUACUCUUAGAGAUUCUUUUACUUUAAAGAAUAUGUAACAGGCUAUUGUGAACUGUAUCAUCACCUUGUUAUGACCUAUCCAACUGUGUUUUAAUAUCAUUAUCCACCCUUCUUGCAUCCCUUUUCCUCUACCCUUCCUUUGGUAAUAACUAUUCUACCUUCUGACCUCCUUUUGGGGACCUCCAUAAUGACUGUACUAACUGACAUUCCCACUAAUGGGUGGGGAAGAGGACCCGGACUGAGUCUAACAGAAGAAAAGAUUUAGUCUCUCUGUGCAAGAGCAUGCCUCCUACCAAUGUGCUAGCACCUGCUUGCCAAAAUGAUUGGUUCUCAAUGUUUGUAGGUGACUAAAUAAUUGUACCAAGUGAUUCCACAAGGAGGGCCCUCUGUGCACCAAGAAUUGCACAGGAUGAGCAGAGGCCAGUAUUAAAAGUAUCUUAAGAA